rnacentral:rRNA from 1 species
UACAGAGGUCCCGAGCGUUGUUCGGAUUCAUUGGGCGGUAAAGGGUGCGUAGGCGGCGGGGAAAGUCUGAUGUGAAAUCCUGGGGCUCAACCCUGGAACUGCAUUGGAUACUUCCUUGCUAGAGUACUGGAGAGGAAACUGGAAUUUACGGUGUAGCAGUGAAAUGCGUAGAGAUCGUAAGGAAGACCAGUGGCGAAGGCGAGUUUCUGGACAGUUACUGACGCUGAGGCACGAAGGCCAGGGGAGCAAACGGG